AUGAAAGUUGCUAGAUAUGCUGCUCAACCUGCUGAGAUCUUCUGAUAUUUCUUAAAGGCCAGAUCUUUGGGUCUGGUGAUGAACUUGGAUUAGAAGGAUUUCUUUGAAUCAUUGGGGAAGCAAAGAUAAGUAGACUUCGGAGUCCC